UACGAAGGUGGCAAGCGUUACUCGGAAUUACUGGGCGUAAAGCGUGCGUAGGCGGUUUGUUAAGUCUGCUGUGAAAGCCCCGGGCUCAACCUGGGAACGGCAGUGGAUACUGGCAAGCUAGAGUGUGGAAGAGGAUGGUGGAAUUCCCGGUGUAGCGGUGAAAUGCGUAGAGAUCGGGAGGAACAUCAGUGGCGAAGGCGGCCAUCUGGGCCAAAACUGACGCUGAGGCACGAAAGCGUGGGGAGCAAACAGG
rnacentral:rRNA from 1 species